GGAAUAUUGCGCAAUGCCCGAAAGGGUGACGCAGCGACGCCGCGUGAAGGAUGAAGGCCCUCUGGGUCGUAAACUUCUUUGGCAGGGGAAUAACAGGUCUCUAUAUGAGGCACUGAAUGUACCCUGAGAACAAGCAUCGGCUAACUACGUGCCAGCAGCCGCGGUAAUACGUAGGAUGCAAGCGUUGUCCGGAUUUACUGGGUGUAAAGGGAGCGCAGGCGGAUUGAUAAGUCGGUGGUGAAAUACUCAGGCUUAACCUGGGAACUGCCACCGAAACUGUUGAUCUUGAGUGUGGAAGAGGUUGAUGGAAUUCCUGGUGUAGCGGUGAAAUGCGUAGAUAUCAGGAAGAACACCGAUGGCGAAGGCAGUCAACUGGUCCACUACUGACGCUCAUGCUCGAAAGCGUGGGGAUCA
rnacentral:rRNA from 1 species